rnacentral:misc_RNA from 1 species
CCUUUCUAGAGAGAGAAAAUGUUGCUGGGAAAGCGACUGAGGCCUCCGAUGAAUAGGACGACGAGCAUGACAGAGCUUCAGUCGGAUCUGGCGGCGCCGGGAGCCACCCAGCCGGCCAAUCAGGAGCGGUCCCACCGGCACCAGAGAGAGCGACAGAGACCCGUGGGGGUGCCGGACGACGACUGGCCGGAGGCCCGGUUCCGCACCACCCCGCCGCCCCGCGGCGGCGCGAGGAGGAGCUCCGGCGAUUUCGCCGCAAUUGAGACGGCAGCUUUCUUGAAAGCCUGCGGGCUCUGCAAGCGCCGCCUCGUCCCCGGAAAAGAUAUCUUCAUGUACAGAGGACACAUUGCCUUCUGCAGCCUUGAGUGCCGGCAGCAGCAGAUUAAUCAGGACGAGCGGAAGGAGAAGUGCUCGACUACAUCUAGGAAAAAAGAUGCCACUCAGGCGACUGCCGAAUCCUCCAACAACG